UACGUAGGUGGCAAGCGUUGUCCGGAAUUAUUGGGCGUAAAGCGCGCGCAGGCGGUCCUUUAAGUCUGAUGUGAAAGCCCACGGCUCAACCGUGGAGGGUCAUUGGAAACUGGGGGACUUGAGUGCAGGAGAGAAGAGUGGAAUUCCACGUGUAGCGGUGAAAUGCGUAGAUAUCUGGAGGAACACCGGUGGCGAAGGCGGCAUUCCGGACCGACAUUGACGCUGAGGAGCGAAAGCCAGGGGAGCAAACGGG
rnacentral:rRNA from 1 species